rnacentral:rRNA from 1 species
AGCAGCCGCGGUAAUUCCAGCUCCAAUAGCGUAUAUUAAAGUUGUUGCAGUUAAAAAGCUCGUAGUUGAAUUUCGGGAUCUGUCCAUUGGUCGGGCCUCACGGUCCGUACUGGUGAGAUGGGUUCCUACCUUCUGAAUAACCGGCAUGCCAUUUAGUUGGUGCGCCGGGGAAGCAGAGCUAUUACCUUGAAAAAAUUAGAGUGCUUAAAGCAGGCUAUUGCUUGAAUAGAUUAG